UACGUAGGUGGCAAGCGUUGUUCGGAAUUAUUGGGCGUAAAGGGCGCGUAGGCGGUUUGCUAAGUCAGUUGUGAAAGCCCGGGGCUCAACCCCGGAGGGUCGGCUGAUACUGGUGGACUAGAGUACGGAAGAGGUAGCUGGAAUUCCCGGUGUAGCGGUGAAAUGCGUAGAUAUCGGGGAGGAACACCUGAGGCGAAGGCGGGCUACUGGGCCGAUACUGACGCUGAGGGCGCGAAAGCCAGGGGAGCAAACGGG
rnacentral:rRNA from 1 species